rnacentral:tRNA from 2 species
UGGGGAUUCGCCAAGCGGUAAGGCAUCACGUUUUGGUCGUGACAUUCACAGGUUCGAAUCCUGUAUCCCCAUCCA